UAAUGAUAGCCACCGAGGUUGGUUGGUUGUACAUUGCUGCUUUAUUGGGUGAUAUUAAAAUAGUAUUUCGUAGAAAAACUUCAAUGGAUUAAAAAUUGAGCUCGCUGGCUGUCAUUCAUUGUCAGACACUGAGUUAGGGAAUCACCCCGAAGAUAGGUAAAAAAAACCAAUAUC